ensembl:snoRNA
GGUGAAUGGUGUGCACGGUGUUAGUCCGUGUCAUGUGCUGUUGCUGGUCUGUGUUUUGCAGACUUUGCAGCGGUGCUCACUCCACACCUGCAGCCAUAGAACACCUGGAGAUCAUAGUACUGGCCCUUGACGUCUUUACAGACAUCUCACAUUGGCCAGCCUCCAAACUCUCCAACAGAC